GGGAUCAGCCCAGCGCCGAAUCCCCGUCUACCAAGAGGACGAGGGAAAUGUGGCGUUCGGGAGCGAGCGCGCCGGGGCCGGCGGCGGCGGCAAGUCCCCCUGACCGGGGCGCUUCCGCAGCGGGUGCGAGGCCCGUGGUCGCCGCGGCCGUCCCGGACGCGAACUCCCCGGAGUCGGGUUGCUUGGGAGUGCAGCCCUAAGCGGGUGGUAAACUCCACCCGAGGCUAAAUACCGCCGUGAGACCGAUAGCAAACAAGUACCGUGAGGGAAAGUUGCAAAGAACUUUGAAGAGAGAGUUCAAGAGUACGUGAAACUGCUCAGAGGUAAACGGGUGGGCCCUCGAAAUCCUUGCAAGGGGAGAGGACUCAGUCCGGAGGCGAGGGGCGCGCGGACGGCUCGAGAACCCCCGAGCGGGGGGCCGGCCGCCGCGCGGAGACUCCGAGCCGCCGGACGCACUUGGCUCUCCCCCAGAGGACGCCGCGGCCGGUUCGGCAGCGCAAGCGCGACGCCCUGAGAGGCGGGGUACCGGCAGGUCGCCGGCGGUCGGCCCAGCGCCGCUCCGCCGGAGGUUGGCCGCCCCGCAAGUGGGCCGUCGCCGGACCGAGGCUCGCGGGCUCCCCCCACGGGGGGGCCCCACGUCCCCACCCCACGAGGUGGCGGACCCGAGGCGCGGCACGGGCCGCGGGGGACGCUCCGCCGCACUCUCGCGGAGUGGUCGCACGCACCCCGCGCCCGCACAGCCGCGCGGGAAUCCGCCCGGGGCACCGAAGGACGGCGGCGAAUGGGUCGGCCGCCCACCCGACCCGUCUUGAAACACGGACCAAGGAGUCCGACACGCGCGCGAGUCGACGGGUCUUGAACAGGCCCGCGGGCGCAACGAAAGCGAAGGGCCGCUCAACGCGUGCCCAGGCGGGGAUCCCGGCUCCAGGUGGGCCGGGCGCACCCGCGACCCGCUCGGGGAGGCAAGCCUCCCGGGCGGAGUCCGAGCGCGCGCGUCGGGACCCGAAAGGUGGUGAACUAUGCCCGGACAGGACGAAGCCGGAGGAAACUCUGGUGGAGGUCCGCAG
rnacentral:rRNA from 1 species